rnacentral:lncRNA from 1 species
AAACUGUAAUCUUUAUCAGAUAACUCUCGGAUUUUAUUUCUCACCCUACGAGUGUCAGAAAAAUAUGAAACUUUAAAUCUAGCCUCAUAAAAAUAUUUCUGACUUAUCCUCCAAUUUUCAUAAUUUUCUGAGACUGUGCAUUUUCUGCUAAUUUAUCUGUCCCGUUUCCAACAGAAAAUUCUAAAUCUUCUGUUUUCAUUCCGAUUUCGGCACAAGUCACUUCUGAUUUAUGUUUUACUUCUAUAAAUCCAAUAAAAAUAGUUUCU